GCCCGUGUGGCGGAAUGGUAGACGCAGGGGAUUCAAAAUCCCCCGCCGCGAGGCGUGCCGGUUCGAGUCCGGCCACGGGUACCA
rnacentral:tRNA from 1 species